rnacentral:misc_RNA from 1 species
GAUGAAGAACGCAGCGAAAUGCGACAAGUAAUGUGAAUUGCAGAAUUCCGUGAAUCAUCGAAUCUUUGAACGCACAUUGCACCUCUCGGUAUUCCGGGAGGUAUGCCUGUUCGAGCGUCAUUUGUACCCUCAAGCUCUGCUUGGUGUUGGGUGUUUGUUCCGCCUCUGUGUGUGAACUCGCCUCAAAACAAUUGGCAGCCGGCGUACUUGUUUCGGAGCGCAGCACAUUUUGCGAUCCAGAUCAACGUACAGCGGCAUCCAAGAAGCCUUAUUUAACGCUCUUGACCUCGGAUCAGGUAGGGAUACCCGCUGAACUUAAGCAUAUCAAUAAGCGGAGGA